rnacentral:rRNA from 1 species
UACGGGGGGGGCAAGCGUUGUUCGGAAUUACUGGGCGUAAAGGGCUCGUAGGCGGCCAACUAAGUCGGAUGUGAAAUCCCCAGGCUCAACUUGGGAACUGCAUCCGAUACUGGAUGGCUUGAAUUCGGGAGAGGGAUGCAGAAUUCCAGGUGUAGCGGUGAAAUGCGUAGAUAUCUGGAGGAAUACCGGUGGCGAAGGCGGCGCUCUGGGCCGGAACUGACGCUGAGGAGCGAAAGCGUGGGUAGCAAACAGG